rnacentral:misc_RNA from 1 species
AAGUCGUAACAAGGUUUCCGUAGGUGAACCUGCGGAAGGAUCAUCAGCGUACUACUGAGAUUAGGCACCGUGAAUUGUGAGAUGGGCGGCGCGCUAGCAUUGGGUGGGGCUAGCGUUGGAUGGGCGGCCGAGAUUGUGGGCGGUGCGUUGCACCGUCACCUGGUCCGGUCGCCCGCCAGCGCACCCACCCGUGCGCAGCCCGCAUUUCUUGGACACACACACAUGUACACAUGUACACAAACACACACACAUAUCAACACAACUUUCAACAAUGGAUCUCUUGGCUCUC